CUCGAUUCCUUUGCAUGUUCCUCUUUGUAAUUUAUUUCCAUCUUUAUGCAAUCUCAUCAAUAGUCUUCUUGGAACCAAAGUCGAGUGGCUUUACUACAUACUUCAGGCAUUUAAUACUGGCAAUUUACUUGGCUAUCAAGAGCUGUGUCGAGUUCAUAAUGCUGCUUUGAGUGCUCAGCCGGCAGUACUGGUGGAGAAUGAAAAGAAGCUGCUGGAAAAAAAAAAUUAACAUUCUCUGUUUAAGGGAGAUCAUCUUUAGUCGCCCCUCUGAAGACAGGACCAUCCCGUUGAGUGUCAUUGCUGAACAAACUAAUCUUUCAGUGGAAGACGUGGAGUAUCUUCUCAUGAAAAGUCUCUCUGUAAGUGCUACUCAUAAUCAUGCUAUUUUUUUAUGAAUCAAUUCUACUGUUGGCAUAUGUUUAGGUGGAGUGGUGAUCUAAAAACCAACGUGAGGAUCAGAAGCUAAAACGUUUUGUUACUGACUCACUGACAGUAUCCUUUCUUUGUUACGACAAUUUUGGGAGUUUGUCCCUCAUUAUACAGGCUUAAUUUAGAGACCAGUAAGACAGGUUCCACUUGAGGAAUGGUACUCUAGGUCUUAUGCCAAGAUCCAUGAUAACCUGAGCUAAGGAAUUUGACACCAUAUCUCUUUUAUAUGCAGUCGUAAUUGAUUUGUCGAACGUGAUUUCAUCAUAUCCCACAAUUAUGUCAUGAUUUUUUGUAUUAUUUCUUAGCUUGUCAUUAUUUGGAAUACUAUCUCGAAUUUAUUACGUAAUAUUCCAAAUGCCGUGGCGUAGCUGAAAUGAGUAACUACGUACACUGGUCCACCUAAUUGAAGGAAUAUCAUAGACCAGGCUGAAGGAACAGUACGUCCAUGUCUCGUGGGUGCAGCCUAGGGUUUAGCCCAGGUAAAAUCGCUGAAAGAUCGUUUGGACGGCUGGCUAAAAAAAGUACGCACAGCUUUGUUAUCGGUGGAGGCAGAAAGCACCUGACCUUGUGGCCUCAUGUGUUUGUGUUUUCUGCAUCAUAACAGCGCAAAGAAGCGCAAGAAAGAACGCAUUUGAUGCCGUGCUUUGUGACCCUCCAUUAAGUGUUUUCUGUGCUCGGAGCAACAAAUUUGAACUGGGGAGUUUCUGUAUUUUUUUUUUAAAUACUUCAGGUAGCGCCAAAACUAGAAAUAGGCUUACAAACACAGGGGAAGAAUUAUACAAG